UACGGAGGGUGCAAGCGUUAUCCGGAUUCACUGGGUUUAAAGGGAGCGCAGGCGGAUUGGUAAGUCAGUGGUGAAAGGCUUAAGCUUAACCUGGGAACUGCCAUUGAUACUAUCAGUCUUGAAUGUUGUUGAGGUUUGCGGAAUGGGUCAUGUAGCGGUGAAAUGCAUAGAUAUGACCCGGAACACCUAUUGCGAAGGCAGCAGGCUAAACAAAUAUUGACGCUGAGGCUCGAAAGCGUGGGGAUCAAACAGG
rnacentral:rRNA from 1 species